UCGGCAUCCUGUAGCAGUUCCGCUAACAGUGUUUGCGUUCCAUAGAAAUUUUUACAAAACUUUUCAAUAUUUGUUUACCGCUUGUUUGCGCUAUAUUCACGUGGAUUCAGCAAUACACCGCGAACGCCGCCGCGCAGGGUUAGGUUAGGUUAGGUUAGGCAUAGCGAUACCUAUUCUUAUAUAAAACCCCCGUACCCGACUCGAUA